UGUUUGCGGCGGACGGGUGAGUAACACGUGGGUAACCUGCCUGUAAGACUGGGAUAACUCCGGGAAACCGGGGCUAAUACCGGAUGGUUGUUUGAACCGCAUGGUUCAGACAUAAAAGGUGGCUUCGGCUACCACUUACAGAUGGACCCGCGGCGCAUUAGCUAGUUGGUGAGGUAACGGCUCACCAAGGCGACGAUGCGUAGCCGACCUGAGAGGGUGAUCGGCCACACUGGGACUGAGACACGGCCCAGACUCCUACGGGAGGCAGCAGUAGGGAAUCUUCCGCAAUGGACGAAAGUCUGACGGAGCAACGCCGCGUGAGUGAUGAAGGUUUUCGGAUCGUAAAGCUCUGUUGUUAGGGAAGAACAAGUGCCGUUCAAAUAGGGCGGCACCUUGACGGUACCUAACCAGAAAGCCACGGCUAACUACGUGCCAGCAGCCGCGGUAAUACGUAGGUGGCAAGCGUUGUCCGGAAUUAUUGGGCGUAAAGGGCUCGCAGGCGGUUUCUUAAGUCUGAUGUGAAAGCCCCCGGCUCAACCGGGGAGGGUCAUUGGAAACUGGGGAACUUGAGUGCAGAAGAGGAGAGUGGAAUUCCACGUGUAGCGGUGAAAUGCGUAGAGAUGUGGAGGAACACCAGUGGCGAAGGCGACUCUCUGGUCUGUAACUGACGCUGAGGAGCGAAAGCGUGGGGAGCGAACAGGAUUAGAUACCCUGGUAGUCCACGCCGUAAACGAUGAGUGCUAAGUGUUAGGGGGUUUCCGCCCCUUAGUGCUGCAGCUAACGCAUUAAGCACUCCGCCUGGGGGAGUACGGGUCGCAGACUGAAACUCAAAGGAAUUGACGGGGGCCC
rnacentral:rRNA from 1 species